rnacentral:rRNA from 1 species
UACGUAGGGAGCAAGCGUUGUCCGGAAUCAUUGGGCGUAAAGCGCGCGUAGGCGGCCCUGUAAGUCCGUUGUGAAAGUCAAAGGCUCAACCUUUGAAAGCCGAUGGAUACUGCAGGGCUAGAGUCCGGAAGAGGCGAGUGGAAUUCCUGGUGUAGCGGUGGAAUGCGCAGAUAUCAGGAGGAACACCAAUAGCGAAGGCAGCUCGCUGGGACGGUACUGACGCUAAGGCGCGAAAGCUAGGGGAGCGAACAGG